UAGCUCAGCGGUAGAGCGAUCGAUUGUUAAUUGACUGGUCGUAAGUUUGAAUCCUUU
rnacentral:tRNA from 1 species